UACGAAGGGGGCUAGCGUUGUUCGGAAUUACUGGGCGUAAAGCGCACGUAGGCGGACUACUAAGUCAGGGGUGAAAUCCCGGGGCUCAACCCCGGAACUGCCUUUGAUACUGGUAGUCUCGAGUCCGGAAGAGGUGAGUGGAACUGCGAGUGUAGAGGUGAAAUUCGUAGAUAUUCGCAAGAACACCAGUGGCGAAGGCGGCUCACUGGCCCGGUACUGACGCUGAGG
rnacentral:rRNA from 1 species